CCUCUUUAUCACUGCAUAGUAUUCCAUUGUACCACAGUGUGAUGGUUAAUUUUAUGUGUCAACUUGGCUAGGCUGUAUGUCCAGUUAUUCAAUCAAACACUAAUUUAUGUGUCUCUGUGAAGGUAUUUUGUAGAUGUGAUUAACAUCUAUACUCAGUUUACUUUAACUAAAGGUGAUUACCUUUGAUCAUGUGGGUAGCCUCAUCUAAUCAGUUGACGGCCUUAAAAACAAAAUCUGAGAUUUCCCAGAGAGGAAGAAAUUUGGCCUCAAGACUAUAGCAUCAGCUCCUUCCUGAGUUUCCAGCCUGUUGGCCUGCCCUACAAAUUUCCGACUUGCCAGCCCCUACAGUCAUGUGAGCCAAUUCCUUUCAAUCUCUUCCUAUUUCAAUAGAUAGACAGCCAAUAGGAUAUAGAUCCUCCGGUUUCUCUGGAGAACCCCGACCGAUACACACCGUUUGUCCAUUCACCUAUUGAAGGAGCAGGCCAUCUUGGUUGUUUUCUGUUUGGGGCAAUAAUGAAUAAAGCUGCUAUAAACAUUCACGUGCAGGAUUUUGUGUUUAUCUAACUUUUCAGUUCACUUGAAUAAAUACUUGGGAGUGUGAUUGCUGGGUUAUAUGGUAAGUCUAUGUUUAACUUUAUAAGAAACUGUCAAAGUGUCUUUUAAAGUAGCUAUACUAUUUUGCAUUCCCACCAGCAAUGAAUGAGAGUUCCUGUUCCCCUGCAUCCUCAUUGGUAUUUGUUAUUGUCAGGUUUUUGGAUUUCAGCCAUUCUAAUAAGUGGAAUCUCAUUGUUGUUUUGAUGUGCAUUCCCCUAAUGACAAAUAAUUUUGAGGGUAAUUGUAUUUUUAAUUUCCCUUUUUCUAAUUAUUAUUAAGGUUGAGUUUAUUUUUCUGGAUUUACUGGCCAACUGAUUUUUCUUUUCAUGAAGUGCCUGUUCAAGAUUUUGCCUGUCUCUUAUCUUUUUCUUAUUGUUUCUUAGAACUUCUUUAUGCAUUCUGGGUAUAGGUUUUCUCCGAUGGUAUGUAUCACAAAUAUUUUCCCUUACUUUAUGGUUUGCUUUUCACUCUUUAUAAGGCCUUUUGAUGAACAGAAAACUUGUCUUUGAACUAGAGCAUUUGCUCUAUUUACAUUUAAUUUAAAUACAGACAUAUUGGAUUUAUAUCUAUCACUUAUUUUGUGCUUUCUGUUUAUUCCAUCUGUUUUAUUUAUUUUUCUCCCCUUUCUCCCCUUCAUUGACUUAUUUGGUAUCAUUCAGUCUUUCCCUCUACUGCUUUGAAAGACAUAUACUCUUUUUUAAUCUUCUUAGUGUUUUCCUUAGAAAUUAAAAGAUCAUCCUUAAUUUACCAAAACCUAAUGUAGUAAAUAUCUUUAUCCUCCUCUUGAGCAAUAAAAGGACCUUCAAACACAUUUAUCUUCCACUCCUAAAUUGCAUGCUAUUGUUACUGUGUAUUUUAACACUGUCUUUUAAAAAAACUUUCUCUCACAGUAUAAUAUACUGCAGAAAUUUUCACAUAGAAAAACGCUGACCCGAUGAACUUUACAAACUGAACACAUCCAUGUUAUCAGCACUCAGAUCAAGAAAGAUAACAUUAUCAGCACCCUGAAAGCUCCUCUUCAGUCAGUACUAUGACCUGCCAAAUGGUAACCACUAUCGUGUCCUCUAACAACCUAACGUAGUUUUGCCUGCCUUUGUACCUUAUAAAAAAGGAAUCAUACAAUAUGUAUUUACUUGUGCCUGGCUUCUUUUGCUCAACAUUAUGUUUGUGAGGUUUACACAGAUGGUUACUACCAUUGUGAUUUUGCUUAUUGCUUUGAUUGGCAUCUAGUUUGAUAUUAAUAUGGCCGCUUCAGCUGUCUUCUUUUUUUAAUUUUUUCUUCUUUUUUUGACUUUUCUUUCUCCAGUCUUUGAUUCAGGAUUCGGCUUUCUUUUGAUUAAUGUUUUAAUAGUAUAUUAUUUCCCAUUAUUUUACUUUUUUUUUUUGAGACAGGGUCUCACUCUGUCACCCACGCUGGAGUGCAGUGGCACAAUCACAGCUCACUGCAGCCUCAACCUCCCCAGGCUCAGAUGACCCUCCCACUUCAGCUUCCUGACUAGCUGGAACUACAGGCAUGCAGCAUCAUGCGGGUAUUUUUUUGGUAGAGACAGGGUUUCACCAUGUUUCCCAAGCUGGUCUUGAACUCCUGGGCUCAAGCAACGCUUCUACCUCCAAAGCGCUGGGAUUACAAGUGUGAGUGAGCCACCCUGUCUGGCCCAUUGGUUUACUUUUUUUUUUUUUUUUUUUGAGACAAAGUCUCACUUUGUCACCCAGGCUGGAGUGCAGUGGCAUGAUCUGGGCUCACUGCAACCUCCAUUUCCCAAGUUCAAGCGAUUCUCUUGCCUCAGCCUCCCAAAUAGCUGGGAUUACAGGCACCAGUUUAGUAGAGAUGCGGUUUCACCAUGUUGGCCAGGCUGGUCUCGAACGCCUGACCUCAAGUGACCUGCCCGCUUCAGCCUUCCAAAGUGCUGAGAUUACAGGCUGGAGCCACCGCGCCCAGCCCCAUUUGUUUACUUUUAACCUAUCUAUAUCUUUACAUUAAAAUGGGUUUCUUGUAGAUGACAAGUAGUGUGUCUCGCUUUUUUCUCUAAUCUGACAAUCUUUUUUAACUGGUGUGUUUAGACUAUCUACAUUUAAUGUAAUUAUUAAUAGAGCUGAAUUUAAAUCAACCACUUUGCUAGUAUUUUUCUGUUUGUUCCAUCUUUUCUUUGUUCCACUUUUCUUUUUUCUGCCUUCAUUUGGAUGGAGUAUUUCUUAAAUUCCAUUUUCACUCCAGCAUUGUCUUACUACUCAUACCUAUUUUUAAAUUGGUGUGGGGGGUGUGGUUCCUAGAGUUUAAAAUAUGCAUCUUUGUCACAGUCUACCUUCAAAUAAUAUACAUGCAUAAUAUUACAUGCCUUCGCACAGGUGUAAACAUUUUACAGCAACAAUAUACUUUCAAUUCCUCCUGACCAUUUUUUUAUGUUAUUGCUGUCACACAUUUUACCUUUAUAUAAACUACAAACCCCAAAAUACAAUGUCACAAUUUUUGCUUUAGACAAUUUUCUUUUAGCGCAAUUAGAAGAAAAAAAAAAUCUUUCCACUUACCUUCAUUAAAAAAAAUCUCUAGAGCUACUCAUUUUUUCUGUGUAUAUCUAAAUUUUGUCUGGCAUCGUAUUCCUUCUUCCUGAACUUCUAACACUUCUUGCAGCUCAGGCCUUCUGGCAAUGAUGUCUCUCAGCUUUUGUUUAUCUGAAAAGGUCUUUAUUUUGCCUUCGCUUUGGGAAGAUAGUUUUUACUGGAAAUAUAUUUUUGGGUAACAGUUCUUGUUAUUGUUUUCUCUUUCAGUACUUUGAAGAUGUCACCUAACUGUCUUCUGGUUUAUGUAAUUACUUAUGAGAAUUCUUCUACAGCUCUGAUCUUUGUUCCUCUCUAAGCAAUGUACCUUCUUUUUUUCCUUGGGGGUCUUCAAGAUCUUCUCUUUUUUGUUUAUCUAUUAUGUUUCUGAGGAUGAAAUAUGUCGAUUUUCUGGUUGGUUUUUGCUUUCGUUUUGUUAUUUAUUCUUCUUGGGGUUCUCUUAGCUUCUUGGAUCUGUGGUUUGCUGUGUAUGUUUUUCAUUAUUUUUGGAAAAUUCCUAGCCAUUAUCUACUUAAUAUGUCUUGUGUCCCAUUCUCUUUCUCCUCCUUCUUGGGAUCCAAUUCCACUUAUUUAGACUGUUAAAUAUUGUCUCAUAACUCAUGCAUUCUCUGUGCUGUUUUAUUGUUGUUGCUGCUUUGUUUUUACUCUUGUUUUCUUUUAGUUUGGGUAAUAUCUACUGACCAUCUUCAAGUCCAUUGACUUAUUCCUCAGUUGUUUUGAGUCUUCUGACAAGCCACAGAAGGAAUUUUUCAUCUCCAGUACGGUGAUUAUAUUGUCCACUUUUUCUAUUAGAUUCUAUAACAUAUUACUCCUAUUUGGUUUAAAGUCCCCUUAUGAUAGUUCCAACAUAUGGAUCAUGUCUGCAUCUGGAUUUAUUGAUUACCUUGUCUCUGGACAAUGGGUUGUUUGUUUCUUGCCUUUUUUUGUGUGUUUUUAUUUUUGAUUGAAUGUCAGACAUUGUCGAGCAGUAGACACUGAGAUAAAUAGUUAUUACACCUGGAAAAAGGCAUGUCUCCUGUUCUGUCAGAUCAUUAGUGUGUGGAAUUGAGUCAAUCUAGUCAGGAGUUGAGUUGGGUUUGGGUUUUGUUGUUACUAGGGUUAUCUUCAGUGUUUUGCAGUCUUCGAAUUCUUCUAGAAUUGCCUCAGGUUUAGGACUGGAAAUGAGAUGCUGAAGGAUUUUUCUCAGUGAUCUCAGGCUUCAGCCAUCUCUGUACUCCUGUACCACAUAGGGGCUUCCUCUCCACAUUCUUGCUCUUCUCCCAGUAGCAGACUGAUCUUGCUUGUUACAAAUGCUUGCCAGGCUCAUCGUGGGGACAGGGAGGCAUUCUCUUUGCUGUGUCCCAGUCUCAGUGUUAGGCAGGCCCUGUGUGCUUGGGCCUUGGUGGGGAGAGGGAGGUUUGUUCAGGAUUCCUGCCCCUCCUCCCAGUGGAAGCCAAAGUUUGCCUCAUAUCUGUGCAGAGUCUGUACUGGAUAGGGUUUCCGGCCCUCUUCCAUUCGUAAGAAGUCUCUAGUGGCAUUUGUUUAGGAUUCUGGGCCUGGAAGAGUUUCCUUUUCUUCUAUCCUUCACCUAUCAGCAAUGGAAUCUUGCCUGUGCCCAUGCCCUUGAGGGUAACAGGGUUUGUUACCUCUCCCCUCAUACAUUGGGGUUAAUUUUUUCCAUAUGAGAGCAGGGUUUGGGCAGGGAGACAGGGCAGUGUGUCUUUGCUGUAGUCAUUUCUGAACUCUCCCUGCACAUAUGCACUACCCAAGGCUGCUCUCUACAAUCGCUCAGCCUUUCCCUAGUUGUGAUCAUCAGUACUUGAUGAAAGCCCAAGGAAAAGGGCCUGAGAGUAUACUAAAACUUUCCUCUGGGACUCUAGACUGCCAAGCUAGCCAACACUUGGCUUUUAGCCUUUGUUAAACUUUAAGCUAUUUUCUUCUCUACCUGUAUGGUGGUCAGUGCCUCUUCCUAUGCUCUGUUACAAGUGACCCAAUCCCUAGAUCUCAUCUCUCCUUGGAGGUGCCUGUCCCCCUUUGGAAUUCAGGGUAUUUGGUUGUCCUCUGACCUCAGAUCUCUGAUGGAUUCAAGAAAAGUUAUGAUUUGUAGUUUAUCUGGCUUUUUCUUGCUGGGAUGGGAGCAAUGCUUUUUUUAGCUUCCUAUAUCUUGGGUGGUAGUAAAACCUCCCUCCUACAUUCUUUCAUUUAUUUUUAUUUUUUUAUUUUUUAAGAGAUGGGGGUCUCACUAUUUUGCCCAGGCUGGUCUUCAACUCCCGGGCUCAAGCAAUCCUCCUGUCUCAGCUUCCAGAGUAGCUAAGACUACAGAUGUGUGCCACCAUGCCUGACUCUCCCUCCUGUAUUCUUUUUUUUUUUUUUUUUUUUUGAGACGGAGUCUCACUGUGUCACCCAGGCUGAAGUGCAGUGGUGUGAUCUCUGCUCACUGCAACCUCCGCCUCCCAGGUUCAAGUGACUCCUUGAACUGGAGUCCUUGACUCCUGCCUCAGCCUCCCCAGUAGCUAGGAUUACAGGCACCCGCCACCAUGCCCAGCUGAUUUUUUUAUUUUUAGUAGAGACAGGGUUUCGCCAUGUUGGCCAGGCUGGUCUCGAACUUCUGACCUCACGUGACCUGCCUUCCUCGGCCUCCUAAAGUGCUGGGAUUAUAGGCAUGAGCCACCACUCCUGGCCCCUCCUGUAUUCUUAAGAAAGCAAACAGGCUUCACCUCUUUUGCCAAGUCCUUCUCCCUCCUUACUGCCCUCUGAUCUGGUUCCUCUCUGCUCCCCAACUCAAUUCUCAAUUCUUUAUUCCCCAAAAGAUCCUAUCUAGCAUUGUAAGGCCCUCUAUAAAGGGCAAAGAUGGGGAAGGGAGAGAAGAAAUAGGGUGGAGAUGUGCCAGUUGGCAGGGGUUAGUUAGAAGAAGGCUUGAAUUCUCAUACAUUAAUAAGUCUUGUCCUGUCACACUUGUAAAUAAUAGCGGUAACUGGGAUGAGACACAGGUCACUAACACAGGCUGGUCCUCCCCCAGCCAGUCCUAUGAGGGACCCAGCAGUCUUCCCCUUUAAUUUCUCUAUUGCUGGAUGACAGGCCAAGUGGAUUCACAUGAUAAAGUAUUGGAAGUGAGAGGAGCAAAGUAGGGAGAUGAUGAGAAGUUGCUGAAUAGCUUGGGGGUGGGGUUUUCAGGGAGUCUGAGAAGAGAGGAGCCAAACCAGACCUAGGAUAGAAGUGGACAGGAGGAGAAAGUGGACUCAGUGCUGCAUGGACUGCAUAUUAAUUUUAUUUAUUAUUAUUAUUUUUUUGAGAUGGAGUCUUGCUCUGCCGUCCAGGCUGGAGUGCAGUGGCGUGAUCUCAGCUCACUGCAACCUCUGCCUCCCAGGUUCAAGUGUUUCUCCUGCCUCAGCCUCCCGAGUAGCUGGGAUUACAGGCUCCCACCAUCACACCCGGCUGAUUUUUAGUAAAGACAGGGUUUCACCAUGUUGGCCAAGCUGAUCUCGAACUCCUGACCUCAGGUGAUCCACCCACUUCGGCCUCCCAAAGUGCUGGGAUUACAGGCGAGAGCCACCGCGCCCAGCCUGGACUGCAUAUUUAGAUUCAUUUUUCUCUUCGAGAGAAUCAAGCGAAGAAUGGUGUCUUCCUGGGCUUUUCUGUGUAGGGGUGCUUCUUAAACACGAUGCGACUCUGAGACUGAACCAGGAGUGUCUCAGCUUCCUUAAGAGUUACAUUGCAGGCUCCCGAGGUAUGUGCCAGAACUGUGUUAAGUACUUUACAGAUGAAGAAACAGGGUCAGAGAUGAUGGGUGACUUGUCCCCAGUCACAGCUAAUAAGUGACAGAGUUUGGACAAAAAUCUAGCCAGGUCUGAUGUUCUAGCCUAAGGUCUUUCAGACAGCUCUUCCCUGGGAAGCCACUGACCCCUGGGAUCUUGCUGACUCAGUAGCUUUCCUGCCCCUCCUGCCAUGCCCGCCCAACCUCAGUAGCUGCUGGAGGGGAUUUGUAUGCCAUCAGGAUUUUGUAAAGAAAAGAGGGUGUGUGUUGGUAAGGAAGGAAGAAGCCAACAUUUAUUAAGGUCCUAUUGUGUGGCAGGCACAUUCGCAAGCAUCGCUUCCGGCCAGCCCUUGGCCCUGUGAGGUGCACUUGCAUUGAGCCGUCAUUGUGGGGAUGAAAUAUGGUGCAGCCCGGGAGACUCCUGAGGGACAAGUCAGCAGUGUGAGGAGGGGACAGAGGCCAGCCUGGUUUCCCAGCACAAAGAAAGAGGAGCCUGGGGGCAGGGAGCAUCCAGCUUGGGGAGGGCCUACAGAUCAGGGGUGGAGUUUGACUUCUUUCUGGGAGUUUGACUUCUUUCUGGGACAGCAGGAAGCGCGUUAAAGGGCCAGGCGAGUUUGAGAGAGGAUCAAAUGAACUCUUCGGAAGGACAUGGCCGUUGAGUGGAGAUGGGGGUCAGAGGGACCUCCAUAAGGCUCCUUCCACUCGUGGGACCUUGAGCUGGACAGGCUGUGCGGUAGCCCUGUCGUUUGUCUACACGCGAAAUAUCUCUACAGCACGUUCUUACCACGAUCUGAUUCCCUGUAAAAUCCCCAGGAGGGGGCAGCACAGGCCUCAGUCUCCCCUUUGGGAGAGAGGUCCAGGGAACACCACAGGCUUCCCCAAGACCACCCCAGGAUGAGUCACUGGGCCAGGAUUGGAAUCCAGACUCCGUAGGCGGUCUGCUGCCAGGACUCUGGGUCCUGGGAGGGAAGAGGCCGGAAGGCCAGGGCCCAGCCCGGGUCAGCAAGCACCCAUCACCCGAGCAUUGCCCGGCUGGCCCGGCUCAAAAUAGCUUUCCAGACACAAGGAAAUAUUUUAUCCCACUCCGUUUUCCCACACAAAAAAAAUAAACAUCCCCAAAUCUCAAUGGGGCCAGACUCCGAAGAGGGGGGAAGGGGAACAAGAACAUGGCUGGCUGCCCACUGAGAAGUCCGGUAUUUGUCCUUUUAGUUCCUUUCUUGGGGUCAAGACUUUGCUUCCUGAUAUGAGCGUGGAGACUCCCACUGCUUUCCCAGUGGGGACUGGCUUUCCCUUGGUGUUAGGCUGCCCUUUCCCAGGGGUCACACACCUCAGACAUUGUGAUGCAGAUGGGACAGCUGCAGGGACCAUACAUGGAAGGGUUAAGAAGCAUAUGACACAGCUCUGCCCUUGACGGGCUUACACGCCACUGGGAGGCAUGGCUGGGCUUCCUGUCUCCCUGAGGAGCUCUUGGACACUGGGGAAGAGAAGACUAAUAUUUCCUGAGAGCCAACUGUGUGCCUGGUACACACCAGGCUCUUCCAAAGACACAAUCCCAUUUGACCCUCACCAUAAGCCUUUGAGGCAGGUGAGGCUAUGAGGCUAUUAUCACUUCCCAUUUUACAGAUGAAGAAACUGAGACUUGGGGCAGGCAUGAUCUGUGCAAGGUUUCAGAACCAGGGAAUGGUAGACCGAGGACUUGAUUUUACACAGGUGGCUGUAAGGCUGCACUUGGCGUCAUGCUGGCAUUGGUAGGGCCCACCUGGAGGCUGGUGGGUGGUGAAAUGAGCCGGGGCUUGCUUGCGCACAGAGCUCCCGUUCUUCCCUUGGGUUGUGGUAAACCCAGUCCCUAGUGUCCCAGGACCUGACUGGGAAGGCAGAAAUGAGGCUGCUGUUAUGGAUUGAAUUGUGUUCCCCUAAAAGGUAAGUUGAAGUCCUACCACCCCCGACAUACCUGUGAAUGUAACCCUAUUUGGAAGUAAGUUCUUUGCAGAUGUAAUCGAGUUAAAAUGAGGUCAUUAGGAAGGGCCUCAUCCAAGAUGACUGGUGUCCCUAUAUGAAGAGGGAAGGACAAAUUGUUUUGUUUUCAUCCUCCCAGUGUGGGGUACUUUGUUAUGGCAGCCUCAGGCCAUCUAUACAGCUGGGGUCUGCCUGGGGGUCCCUCAGCCUCCUUAGGCAAAAAGGUGACCUGGAACCUGUGGGAGAGGUGCAGGGGCCAGGGCUCAGUCCUCAGCUCUGUGAGGGGAAGAGCUUUCUCCCAGUCGCAGCAUCCCAGAGGAGGGGCCUUCUGAGGUGCCGAGGGCCACGUGGCGGGAGUGUGUAUAUGGAGGAGAGGAUGGCCGUUUGAUGAAGGUGUUGGGUUGAUUGUCUCUUUCUUGUUGAUUUUUGAGUAUUAGUUUAUAUAGAUAUAUCUAUAGAAAGGUUGGCCUACUGGGUAAUGAGUUUGUUGCAAAUGUGCGUGUUGCAAAUAUGUUUCCUAGUUUGGGGCUUGCUUGUCUUUUCAUAUUCUUUAUGGCGUUUGUUUGUUUGUUUGUUUUUUAAGAGACAAGGUGUCUCCCUGCCACCCAGGCUGGAGUGCAGUGACGCGAUCAUAGCUCACUGCAGCCUUGGUCUCCUGGGCUCAAGCGAUCCUCUCACCUCUGUCUCCCAAGUAGCUAGGUCCACAGGUGCGCAUUACUGUGCCUGGCUAAUUUUAUGCAAUUUU
rnacentral:lncRNA from 10 species